rnacentral:rRNA from 1 species
GUGUGACUGCGUACCUUUUGUAUAAUGGGUCAGCGACUUAUAUUCUGUAGCAAGGUUAACCGAAUAGGGGAGCCGAAGGGAAACCGAGUCUUAACUGGGCGUUAAGUUGCAGGGUAUAGACCCGAAACCCGGUGAUCUAGCCAUGGGCAGGUUGAAGGUUGGGUAACACUAACUGGAGGACCGAACCGACUAAUGUUGAAAAAUUAGCGGAUGACUUGUGGCUGGGGGUGAAAGGCCAAUCAAACCGGGAGAUAGCUGGUUCUCCCCGAAAGCUAUUUAGGUAGCGCCUCGUGAAUUCAUCUCCGGGGGUAGAGCACUGUUUCGGCAAGGGGGUCAUCCCGACUUACCAACCCGAUGCAAACUGCGAAUACCGGAGAAUGUUAUCACGGGAGACACACGGCGGGUGCUAACGUCCGUCGUGAAGAGGGAAACAACCCAGACCGCCAGCUAAGGUCCCAAAGUCAUGGUUAAGUGGGAAACGAUGUGGGAAGGCCCAGACAGCCAGGAUGUUGGCUUAGAAGCAGCCAUCAUUUAAAGAAAGCGUAAUAGCUCACUGGUCGAGUCGGCCUGCGCGGAAGAUGUAACGGGGCUAAACCAUGCACCGAAGCUGCGGCAGCGACNAUGCUGGAGGUAUCAGAAGUGCGAAUGCUGACAUAAGUAACGAUAAAGCGGGUGAAAAGCCCGCUCGCCGGAAGACCAAGGGUUCCUGUCCAACGUUAAUCGGGGCAGGGUGAGUCGACCCCUAAGGCGAGGCCGAAAGGCGUAGUCGAUGGGAAACAGGUUAAUAUUCCUGUACUUGGUGUUACUGCGAAGGGGGGACGGAGAAGGCUAUGUUGGCCGGGCGACGGUUGUCCCGGUUUAAGCGUGUAGGCUGGUUUUCCAGGCAAAUCCGGAAAAUCAAGGCUGAGGCGUGAUGACGAGGCACUACGGUGCUGAAGCAACAAAUGCCCUGCUUCCAGGAAAAGCCUCUAAGCAUCAGGUAACAUCAAAUCGUACCCCAAACCGACACAGGUGGUCAGGUAGAGAAUACCAAGGCGCUUGAGAGAACUCGGGUGAAGGAACUAGGCAAAAUGGUGCCGUAACUUCGGGAGAAGGCACGCUGAUAUGUAGGUGAAGUCCCUCGCGGAUGGAGCUGAAAUCAGUCGAAGAUACCAGCUGGCUGCAACUGUUUAUUAAAAACACAGCACUGUGCAAACACGAAAGUGGACGUAUACGGUGUGACGCCUGCCCGGUGCCGGAAGGUUAAUUGAUGGGGUCAGCGCAAGCGAAGCUCUUGAUCGAAGCCCCGGUAAACGGCGGCCGUAACUAUAACGGUCCUAAGGUAGCGAAAUUCCUUGUCGGGUAAGUUCCGACCUGCACGAAUGGCGUAAUGAUGGCCAGGCUGUCUCCACCCGAGACUCAGUGAAAUUGAACUCGCUGUGAAGAUGCAGUGUACCCGCGGCAAGACGGAAAGACCCCGUGAACCUUUACUAUAGCUUGACACUGAACAUUGAGCCUUGAUGUGUAGGAUAGGUGGGAGGCUUUGAAGUGUGGACGCCAGUCUGCAUGGAGCCGACCUUGAAAUACCACCCUUUAAUGUUUGAUGUUCUAACGUUGACCCGUGAUCCGGGUUGCGGACAGUGUCUGGUGGGUAGUUUGACUGGGGCGGUCUCCUCCUAAAGAGUAACGGAGGAGCACGAAGGUUGGCUAAUCCUGGUCGGACAUCAGGAGGUUAGUGCAAUGGCAUAAGCCAGCUUGACUGCGAGCGUGACGGCGCGAGCAGGUGCGAAAGCAGGUCAUAGUGAUCCGGUGGUUCUGAAUGGAAGGGCCAUCGCUCAACGGAUAAAAGGUACUCCGGGGAUAACAGGCUGAUACCGCCCAAGAGUUCAUAUCGACGGCGGUGUUUGGCACCUCGAUGUCGGCUCAUCACAUCCUGGGGCUGAAGUAGGUCCCAAGGGUAUGGCUGUUCGCCAUUUAAAGUGGUACGCGAGCUGGGUUUAGAACGUCGUGAGACAGUUCGGUCCCUAUCUGCCGUGGGCGCUGGAGAACUGAGGGGGGCUGCUCCUAGUACGAGAGGACCGGAGUGGACGCAUCACUGGUGUUCGGGUUGUCAUGCCAAUGGCACUGCCCGGUAGCUAAAUGCGGAAGAGAUAAGUGCUGAAAGCAUCUAAGCACGAAACUUGCCCCGAGAUGAGUUCUCCCUGACUCCUUGAGAGUCCUGAAGGAACGUUGAAGACGACGACGUUGAUAGGCCGGGUGUGUAAGCGCAGCGAUGCGUUGAGCUAACCGGUACUAAUGAACCGUGAGGCUUAACCUU